rnacentral:rRNA from 1 species
GGCCUAACACAUGCAAGUCGAACGGUAACAUUUCUAGCUUGCUAGAAGAUGACGAGUGGCGGACGGGUGAGUAAUGCUUGGGAACUUGCCUUUGCGAGGGGGAUAACAGUUGGAAACGACUGCUAAUACCGCAUAAUGUCUUCGGACCAAACGGGGCUUCGGCUCCGGCGCAAAGAGAGGCCCAAGUGAGAUUAGCUAGUUGGUAAGGUAACGGCUUACCAAGGCGACGAUCUCUAGCUGUUCUGAGAGGAAGAUCAGCCACACUGGGACUGAGACACGGCCCAGACUCCUACGGGAGGCAGCAGUGGGGAAUAUUGCACAAUGGGGGAAACCCUGAUGCAGCCAUGCCGCGUGUGUGAAGAAGGCCUUCGGGUUGUAAAGCACUUUCAGUUGUGAGGAAAAGUUAGUAGUUAAUACCUGCUAGCCGUGACGUUAACAACAGAAGAAGCACCGGCUAACUCCGUGCCAGCAGCCGCGGUAAUACGGAGGGUGCGAGCGUUAAUCGGAAUUACUGGGCGUAAAGCGCACGCAGGCGGUUUGUUAAGCUAGAUGUGAAAGCCCCGGGCUCAACCUGGGAUGGUCAUUUAGAACUGGCAGACUAGAGUCUUGGAGAGGGGAGUGGAAUUCCAGGUGUAGCGGUGAAAUGCGUAGAUAUCUGGAGGAACAUCAGUGGCGAAGGCGACUCCCUGGCCAAAGACUGACGCUCAUGUGCGAAAGUGUGGGUAGCGAACAGGAUUAGAUACCCUGGUAGUCCACACCGUAAACGCUGUCUACUAGCUGUGUGUGUCUUUAAGACGUGCGUAGCGAAGCUAACGCGCUAAGUAGACCGCCUGGGGAGUACGGCCGCAAGGUUAAAACUCAAAUGAAUUGACGGGGGCCCGCACAAGCGGUGGAGCAUGUGGUUUAAUUCGAUGCAACGCGAAGAACCUUACCUACACUUG